rnacentral:rRNA from 1 species
AAACUUCGCAAUGUGCGCAAGCACGACGAGGGAAUCCUAAGUGCCUAUGCUUUGCAUAGGCUGUUCUCCUGUCUAAAAAACAGGGGGAAUAAGGGCUGGGUAAGACGGGUGCCAGCCGCCGCGGUAAUACCAGCGCCACGAGUGGUGAUCAUUUUUAUUGGGCCUAAAGCGUUCGUAGCCGGUCUGAUAAAUCUUCUGUGAAAUUGUCAAGCGUCCAAGAGAUACUGGUAGGCUUGGGACCGGG